rnacentral:misc_RNA from 1 species
GUGAAUCAUCGAAUUUUUGAACGCAAAUUGCACUCCCUGGUAUUCCGGAGUGUAUGCCUGUUUGAGUGUCAGGUUAAAUAAAAAUCGGUGUGGUUGCUGCCUUUCGUGGUGACGCACCGGAGAUCGGUCGUAGUGCCUUCGGUUAAGUGACAUAAAAUUUUGCAUGAUUUUUUUCGAACGUAUUUAAAUGAUUAUACGUACGUUCGCGAUAUCGAAUACUAUGUGUUGUCAGCCUCAUGAUUAUAGC